AUAGAUAUAUAUAUACUCUUUGGGUUAUGUAUAUUAUUAUCAUACUCUUGGAUGCACGUGUGUUUUUAAUCUCAAUGAAGGAACUAAAGUUAGAUAUUUUUUUUCCUCGGCACACCAAAUUGCUGGUCCAUGAAUGAUGAAACAUCAUCUCUGGUAGUUAAACAAUUUUAUUAUUUUUUUUCCAUGUACUCUUAAGAAAUUUCUGACCGGCCAUGUUAGAUGAUAGUGAAUGUUGGGCACUGGAGGAGUCGUAUGUGCCUAAGAUAAGAGUUGCGGAGAUG
rnacentral:misc_RNA from 1 species